CCUACGGGAGGCAGCAGUGAGGAAUAUUGGUCAAUGGACGAGAGUCUGAACCAGCCAAGCCGCGUGAAGGAUGACGGCCCUAUGAGUUGUAAACUUCUUUUGUAAGGGGAUAAAACCAGGCACGUGUGCCUUUCUGAAUGUACUGUACGAAUAAGGAUCGGCUAACUCCGUGCCAGCAGCCGCGGUAAUACGGAGGAUUCGAGCGUUAUCCGGAUUUAUUGGGUUUAAAGGGAGCGUAGGCGGUCUGUUAAGUCAGUGGUGAAAGUCCGGGGCUCAACGUUAAAAUUGCAAUUGAUACUGGCAGUCUGGAGAGUAGUUGAGGUAAGCGGAAUGCAUGGUGUAGCGGUGAAAUGCUUAGAUAUCAUGAAGAACCCCGAUUGCGAAGGCAGCUUACUAAGCUAUGACUGACGUUGAGGCGCGAAAGCGUGGGGAGCAAACAGGAUUAGAUACCCGAGUAGUC
rnacentral:rRNA from 1 species